GAUGAAGAACGUAGCGAAAUGCGAUACGUAAUGUGAAUUGCAGAAUUCAGUGAAUCAUCGAGUCUUUGAACGCACAUUGCGCCCACUAGUAUUCUGGUGGGCAUGCCUGUUCGAGCGUCAUUUCAACCCUCAAGCCUGGCUUGGUGUUGGGGCUCUGCGCCUGCAGUCCCUUAAAUCCAGUGGCGGACACGCUAGGUCUCCGAGCGCAGUAGUUUCUUCUCGCUCAGGGCGUCCGGCGUGGGCUUGCCUCGCACCCAUCUUAUCAAGGUUGACCUCGGAUCAGGUAGGAAUACCCGCUGAACUUAAGCAUAUCAAUAAGCGGAGGA
rnacentral:misc_RNA from 1 species